rnacentral:rRNA from 1 species
GAUAAACGCUGGCGGCGUGCAUGAGACAUGCAAGUCGAACGAGUGCCGGGCAACCGGUGCUAGUGGCGGACGGCUGAGUAACGCGUAGGUGACCUACCCCGAAGUGGGGAAUAACUGCCCGAAAGGGUGGCUAAUACCGCAUGUGGUCGCACGUUCGUUCGUGCGAGCAAAGCCGUGAGGCGCUACGGGAAGGGCCUGCGUCCGAUUAGCUCGUUGGUGAGGUAAUGGCUUACCAAGGCGACGAUCGGUAGGUGGUCUGAGAGGACGAUCACCCAGACUGGGACUGAGACACGGCCCAGACUCCUACGGGAGGCAGCAGUCGGGAAUUUUGCUCAAUGGGGGAAACCCUGAAGCAGCAACGCCGCGUGAGGGAUGAAGGCCUUCGGGUUGUAAACCUCUUUUGUCAGGGACGAUGAUGACGGUACCUGGCGAAUAAGCCACGGCUAACUACGUGCCAGCCGCCGCCGUAAGAC